rnacentral:rRNA from 1 species
UACGUAGGGGCUAGCGUUAUCCGGAAUUACUGGGCGUAAAGGGUGCGUAGGUGGUUUCUUAAGUCAGAGGUGAAAGGCUACGGCUCAACCGUAGUGAGCCUUUGAAACUGGGAAACUUGAGUGCAGGAGAGGAGAGUGGAAUUCCUAGUGUAGCGGUGAAAUGCGUAGAUAUUAGGAGGAACACCAGUUGCGAAGGCGGCUCUCUGGACUGUAACUGACACUGAGGCACGAAAGCGUGGGGAGCAAACAGGAUUAGAUACCCUGGUAGUCCCUGA